UACGUAGGGUGCAAGCGUUAAUCGGAAUUACUGGGCGUAAAGCGUGCGCAGGCGGCUUCUCAAGUCAGGGGUGAAAGCCCAGAGCUCAACUCUGGAAUUGCCUUUGAGACUGAGAGGCUUGAGUGCGGGAGAGGUGAGUGGAAUUCCCAGUGUAGAGGUGAAAUUCGUAGAUAUUGGGAAGAACACCGGUGGCGAAGGCGGCUCACUGGCCCGUAACUGACGCUCAGGCACGACAGCGUGGGGAUCAAACAGG
rnacentral:rRNA from 1 species